GGGGACGACUGGUUUUGACAGCGAGACGAGUUAAAAUGUAAGCAUGUCGAGGAAUGAAAUCAAGACUCGUAAAACUUAUUUCAACCUUUUUAAACGGCGAAGAUAACUACGCUUUAGCAGCUUAAUAACCCGAAUUACAGUACGGUUUUAGCCUCGGCACACUAGGUGUGCAUGCUUUAUGUCCACGAAAAGCCUUGGUUUACGGCGAUUCAUUUAUGGGCAUCGUAAAAGUAAACAUAGAAACUUUGGAACUUCGACAAGGUUUUGAAAUUUAAGAAGAUAAGCUUAGAGUAGGUUGUUUUUGAUCAGCUCUAGGACGAAAACCAAUCAAAGACUACACAUGUAGAAAGCCUUUUGGCCGCUUGUUUGGACCCGAGUUCGAUUCUCGGCGUCUCCAC
rnacentral:tmRNA from 1 species